UAUUAAGGACUUCCUUUUCAUAUUCUAUGAAAAAUGAUAAAAAGAAAGAGAGAUGACUAAAAAUAUAUAUUGUGAUAUGGUUAAAAAUGAACAUUGAUAAUGGCAAAUUAUAAAAUAUGUUCGAUGCACUAAAAAAUAAUACACAGAAUACUCACAAAAAAAUCAAUGAAGUCAUAAAUUUUGGAAGGCAGACCACCUCUUUGUGAGUGAAGGUACAAUACGCCCAAUAACCUAACAUAUAUUUUUAUACAAGCUAAAGUAACAAG
rnacentral:misc_RNA from 1 species